rnacentral:rRNA from 1 species
GUUGAACGCUGGCGGCAUGCUUUACACAUGCAAGUCGAACGGCAGCACGGGGGCAACCCUGGUGGCGAGUGGCGAACGGGUGAGUAACACAUCGGAACGUGUCCAGUUGUGGGGGAUAACCCAUCGAAAGGUGGGCUAAUACCGCAUGAGCUGGCAACAGGAAAGCGGGGGACCCGCAAGGGCCUUGUGCGAUUGGAGCGGCCGAUGUCCGAUUAGCUAGUUGGUGGGGUAAAGGCCUACCAAGGCUUCGAUCGGUAGCUGGUCUGAGAGGAUGAUCAGCCACACUGGGACUGAGACACGGCCCAGACUCCUACGGGAGGCAGCAGUGGGGAAUUUUGGACAAUGGGGGCAACCCUGAUCCAGCCAUGCCGCGUGAGUGAAGAAGGCCUGG